rnacentral:rRNA from 1 species
CCUACGGGAGGCAGCAGUGGGGAAUAUUGCGCAAUGGGCGAAAGCCUGACGCAGCGACGCCGCGUGAGGGAUGAAGGUCUUCGGAUCGUAAACCUCUGUCAGCAGGGAAGAACGGUCACUGUGCUAAUCAGCAGUGAAUUGACGGUACCUGCAAAGGAAGCACCGGCUAACGCCGUGCCAGCAGCCGCGGUAAUACGGAGGGUGCGAGCGUUAAUCGGAAUUACUGGGCGUAAAGCGCUCGUAGGCGGUAUGUCAAGUCAAGGGUGAAAUCCCCGCGCUCAACGUGGGAACUGCAUUUGAAACUGGCAAACUGGAGUGUGUGAGAGGAGAGUGGAAGUCCAGGUGUAGGGGUGAAAUCCGUAGAUAUCUGGAGGAACAUCAGUGGCGAAGGCGACUAUCUGGAACAUAACUGACGCUGAGGAGCGAAAGCGUGGGUAGCAAACAGGAUUAGAUACCCGAGUAGUC